GAAGUAGCUCAGUUGGAUAGAGCAUCGGAUUGUGGCUCCGAAGGUCGAGGGUUCGAAUCUCUUCUUC
rnacentral:tRNA from 1 species